rnacentral:rRNA from 1 species
UAGGGUUUGAUCCUGGCUCAGAUUGAACGUUGGCGGCACGCCUAAUACAUGCAAGUCGAACGAGAAAGCACUUCGGUGCGAGUACAGUGGCGGACGGGUGAGUAACGCGUAGGAAUCUACCUAGUAGUGGGGGACAACUCGGGGAAACUCGAGCUAAUACCGCAUACGCUCUAUGGAGGAAAGUGGGGGACCUUUGGGCCUCACGCUAUUAGAGGAGCCUGCGUUAGAUUAGUUAGUUGGUGAGGUAAGGGCUCACCAAGGCUACGAUCUAUAGCUGGUCUGAGAGGACGAUCAGCCACACUGGAACUGAGACACGGUCCAGACUCCUACGGGAGGCAGCAGUAGGGAAUCUUGGGCAAUGGGCGAAAGCCUGACCCAGCGAUGCCGCGUGUGCGAAGAAGGCCUUAGGGUUGUAAAGCACUUUCAGUUGCGAAGAAAAGCUGCGAUCUAAUACAUCGCGGUCUUGACGUUAACAACAGAAGAAGUACCGGCUAACUCCGUGCCAGCAGCCGCGGUAAUACGGAGGGUACGAACGUUAAUCGGAAUUACUGGGCGUAAAGCGCGCGUAGGCGGUUUGAUAAGUGGGAUGUGAAAGCCCCGGGCUUAACCUGGGAACUGCAUUCCAAACUGUCAGACUAGAGUGUGGUAGGGGGAGGUAGAAUUUCC